UGAGCGGCAAAAGCUCAAAUUUGAAAUCUGGUACCUUCGGUGCCCGAGUUGUAAUUUGGAGAGGGCAACUUUGGGGCCGUUCCUUGUCUAUGUUCCUUGGAACAGGACGUCAUAGAGGGUGAGAAUCCCGUGUGGCGAGGAGUGCGGUUCUUUGUAAAGUGCCUUCGAAGAGUCGAGUUGUUUGGGAAUGCAGCUCUAAGUGGGUGGUAAAUUCCAUCUAAAGCUAAAUAUUGGCGAGAGACCGAUAGCGAACAAGUACAGUGAUGGAAAGAUGAAAAGAACUUUGAAAAGAGAGUGAAAAAGUACGUGAAAUUGUUGAAAGGGAAGGGCAUUUGAUCAGACAUGGUGUUUUGUGCCCUCUGCUCCUUGUGGGUAGGGGAAUCUCGCAUUUCACUGGGCCAGCAUCAGUUUUGGUGGCAGGAUAAAUCCAUAGGAAUGUAGCUUGCCUCGGUAAGUAUUAUAGCCUGUGGGAAUACUGCCAGCUGGGACUGAGGACUGCGACGUAAGUCAAGGAUGCUGGCAUAAUGGUUAUAUGCCGCCCGUCUUGACC
rnacentral:rRNA from 1 species